UACGAUGGACAUUUAAUAGGAAAAACAUUUAAUAGACACCUAUAAAUAAAAUUAAAGGUCUAAUUUUAUAGUUAAUUGCACCUAAAUUGUCAGUAAUAGAGUGAUGACUAAAACAAGGAUUAGAUACCCUUUUAUUCUUACUAGCACAUUAAAAAGUUGGAUAUUACAGAUAUAAAUCCUAAACCUAAAAAAUAUGGCAGUACUUUAAUAUAUCAGGGGAACUUGCUGAUUAAUUCGAUAAUCCGCGAAGUCCUCACCUGUAUUUGAAACUAAGUUAGCGUAUUGCCGUACAAAAUAAUUACUUAUAGUAUGAUGUAGAAAAAAAUAGACUUACUAUCACAGGUCCAUGUACUGCUAACAUACAGGCUUUAAGUGAGUUACAAUGUUAAAAUACAAACAAAAUAAAAUAUAACACAUUUAUGAAGGUGGACUUGAAAGUAAUUAAAUAAAUUAAUGAAUAACAAUGUAAAGUGAGCACAAAUUGCCCGUCACUCCCAAUAUAACUG
rnacentral:rRNA from 2 species